AAAAGAUUGCAUGAUAUAACCCUG
rnacentral:miRNA from 1 species